rnacentral:rRNA from 1 species
UGUGCCAGAUGGGAUUAGCUAGUAGGUGGGGUAACGGCUCACCUAGGCGACGAUCCCUAGCUGGUCUGAGAGGAUGACCAGCCACACUGGAACUGAGACACGGUCCAGACUCCUACGGGAGGCAGCAGUGGGGAAUAUUGCACAAUGGGCGCAAGCCUGAUGCAGCCAUGCCGCGUGUGUGAAGAAGGCCUUCGGGUUGUAAAGCACUUUCAGCGGGGAGGAAGGCGUUAAGGUUAAUAACCUUGGCGAUUGACGUUACCCGCAGAAGAAGCACCGGCUAACUCCGUGCCAGCAGCCGCGGUAAUACGGAGGGUGCAAGCGUUAAUCGGAAUUACUGGGCGUAAAGCGCACGCAGGCGGUCUGUCAAGUCGGAUGUGAAAUCCCCGGGCUCAACCUGGGAACUGCAUUCGAAACUGGCAGGCUAGAGUCUUGUAGAGGGGGGUAGAAUUCCAGGUGUAGCG